GACACAGUAGGGUUGAAUUAAGAAUAGACGUUAUAAUGGCAUGACACAGUAGGGUUGAAUUAAGAAUAGACGUUAUAAUGGCAUGACACAGUAGGGUUGAAUUAAGAAUAGACGUUAUAAUGGCGUGACACAGUAGGGUUGAAUUAAGAAUAGACGUUAUAAUGGCGUGAAACAGUAGGGUUGAAUUAAGAAUAGACGUUAUAAUGGCGUGAAACAGUAGGGUUGAAUUAAGAAUAGACGUUAUAAUGGCGUGAAACAGUAGGGUUGAAUUAAGAAUAGACGUUAUAAUGGCGUGAAACAGUAGGGUUGAAUUAAGAAUAGACGUUAUAAUGGCAUGACACAGUAGGGUUGAAUUAAGAAUAGACGUUAUAAUGGCGUGAAACAGUAGGGUUGAAUUAAGAAUAGACGUUAUAAUGGCGUGAAACAGUAGGGUUGAAUUAAGAACAGACGUUAUAAUGGCGUGAAACAGUAGGGUUGAAUUAAGAAUAGACGUUAUAAUGGCGUGACACAGUAGGGUUGAAUUAAGAAUAGACGUUAUAAUGGCAUGACACAGUAGGGUUGAAUUAAGAAUAGACGUUAUAAUGGCAUGACACAGUAGGGUUGAAUUAAGAAUAGACGUUAUAAUGGCAUGACACAGUAGGGUUGAAUUAAGAAUAGACGUUAUAAUGGCAUGACACAGUAGGGUUGAAUUAAGAAUAGACGUUAUAAUGGCGUGAAACAGUAGGGUUGAAUUAAGAAUAGACGUUAUAAUGGCAUGACACAGUAGGGUUGAAUUAAGAAUAGACGUUAUAAUGGCAUGACACAGUAGGGUUGAAUUAAGAAUAGACGUUAUAAUGGCGUGAAACAGUAGGGUUGAAUUAAGAAUAGACGUUAUAAUGGCAUGACACAGUAGGGUUGAAUUAAGAAUAGACGUUAUAAUGGCAUGACACAGUAGGGUUGAAUUAAGAAUAGACGUUAUAAUGGCAUGACACAGUAGGGUUGAAUUAAGAAUAGACGUUAUAAUGGCGUGAAACAGUAGGGUUGAAUU